GUCACUUUGGCCGAGUGGUUAAGGCGUCAGAUUCGAAUUUUGAGUAGCAUCUGAUGGGGUCUCCCCGCGUAGGUUCAAAUCCUGCAGGUGACG
rnacentral:tRNA from 1 species